AUUGAACGCUGGCGGCAUGCUUUACACAUGCAAGUCGAACGGCAGCACGGGAGCUUGCUCCUGGUGGCGAGUGGCGAACGGGUGAGUAAUGCAUCGGAACGUACCCAGUAGUGGGGGAUAGCCCGGCGAAAGCCGGAUUAAUACCGCAUAUUUCCUGAGGGAGAAAGCGGGGGGACCUUCGGGCCUCGCGCUACUGGAGCGGCUGAUGUCGGAUUAGCUAGUUGGUGAGGUAAAGGCUCACCAAGGCGACGAUCCGUAGCUGGUCUGAGAGGAUGAUCAGCCACACUGGGACUGAGACACGGCCCAGACUCCUACGGGAGGCAGCAGUGGGGAAUUUUGGACAAUGGGGGAAACCCUGAUCCAGCCAUGCCGCGUGAGUGAAGAAGGCCCUUGGUUGUAAGACUCUUUCUAGGUGGAAAGAAAGUACACUACCCCGAACUACGGGUGGUGGAGUGACGGUACCGAU
rnacentral:rRNA from 1 species